UGACUCGACAAGCGGGCAGAUCAGCCAUA
rnacentral:piRNA from 1 species